UACAGGGGUCUCGAGCGUUAAUCGGAAUUACUGGGCUUAAAGGGUGCGUAGGCGGGCUCGAAAGUGCUCUGUGAAAUCCCCCGGCUCAACCGGGGAACUGCGGGGCAUACUGCGAGUCUUGAGGAAGGUAGGCGCCGAGGGAACAGUAGGUGGAGCGGUGAAAUGCGUAGAUAUCUACUGGAACGCCGAUGGUGAAGACGCUCGGCUGGGCCUUUCCUGACGCUGAGGCACGAAAGCGUGGGGAGCAAACAGG
rnacentral:rRNA from 1 species